GACGAACGCUGGCGGCGUGCUUAACACAUGCAAGUCGAACGGAAAGGCCCUGCUUUUGUGGGGUGCUCGAUUGGCGAACGGGUGAGUAACACGUGAGUAACCUGCCCUUGUCUUUGGGAUAACUUCAGGAAACUGGGGCUAAUACCGGAUAGGAGCUCCUGCUGCAUGGUGGGGGUUGGAAAGUUUCGGCGGUUGGGGAUGGACUCGCGGCUUAUCCGCUUGUUGGUGGGGUAGUGACUUACCAAGGCUUUGACGGGUAGCCGGCCUGAGAGGGUUAACGGCGACAUUGGGACUGAGAGACGGAGCAGAAUCGUACGGGAGGCAGCAGGGGGGAAUAUUGCACAAUGGGCGGAAGCCUGAUGCAGCAACGCCGCGUGCGGGAUGACGGGCUUCGGGGUGUAAACCGAUGUCGACUGUGACGAAGAGUGAGUGACGGUAAUGGGUAAAGAAGCACCGGCUAACUACGUG
rnacentral:rRNA from 1 species